UGAGGAGGAAUCCAGUGGUGU
rnacentral:piRNA from 1 species